UACAGAGGGUGCGAGCGUUAAUCGGAAUUACUGGGCGUAAAGCGCACGUAGGCGGCUUGGUAUGUCGGGUGUGAAAUCCCCGGGCUUAACCUGGGAACUGCAUUUGUGACUGCAUGGCUGGAGUGCGGCAGAGGGGGAUGGAAUUCCGCGUGUAGCAGUGAAAUGCGUAGAUAUGCGGAGGAACACCGAUGGCGAAGGCAAUCCCCUGGGCCUGCACUGACGCUCAUGCACGAAAGCGUGGGGAGCAAACAGG
rnacentral:rRNA from 1 species